rnacentral:rRNA from 2 species
GGAUGCGAUCAUACCAGCACUAAAGCACCGGAUACCAUCAGAACUCCAAAGUUAAGCGUGCUUGGGCGAGAGUAGUACUAGGAUGGGUGACCUCCUGGGAAGUCCUCGUGUUGCAUUCC